GACGAACGCUGGCGGCGUGCUUAACACAUGCAAGUCGAACGAAGAGCGAUGGAAGCUUGCUUCUAUCAAUCUUAGUGGCGAACGGGUGAGUAACGCGUAAUCAACCUGCCCUUCAGAGGGGGACAACAGUUGGAAACGACUGCUAAUACCGCAUACGAUCCAAUCUCGGCAUCGAGACUGGAUGAAAGGUGGCCUCUAUUUAUAAGCUAUCACUGAAGGAGGGGAUUGCGUCUGAUUAGCUAGUUGGAGGGGUAACGGCCCACCAAGGCGAUGAUCAGUAGCCGGUCUGAGAGGAUGAACGGCCACAUUGGGACUGAGACACGGCCCAGACUCCUACGGGAGGCAGCAGUGGGGAAUCUUCCGCAAUGGACGAAAGUCUGACGGAGCAACGCCGCGUGAGUGAUGACGGCCUUCGGGUUGUAAAGCUCUGUUAAUCGGGACGAAUGGUUCUUGUGCAAAUA
rnacentral:rRNA from 1 species